rnacentral:rRNA from 1 species
ACUCCUACGGGAGGCAGCAGUAGGGAAUCUUCCACAAUGGGCGCAAGCCUGAUGGAGCAACACCGCGUGAGUGAAGAAGGGUUUCGGCUCGUAAAGCUCUGUUGUUAAAGAAGAACACGUAUGAGAGUAACUGUUCAUACGUUGACGGUAUUUAACCAGAAAGUCACGGCUAACUACGUGCCAGCAGCCGCGGUAAUACGUAGGUGGCAAGCGUUAUCCGGAUUUAUUGGGCGUAAAGAGAGUGCAGGCGGUUUUCUAAGUCUGAUGUGAAAGCCUUCGGCUUAACCGGAGAAGUGCAUCGGAAACUGGAUAACUUGAGUGCAGAAGAAGGUAGUGGAACUCCAUGUGUAGCGGUGGAAUGCGUAGAUAUAUGGAAGAACACCAGUGGCGAAGGCGGCUACCUGGUCUGCAACUGACGCUGAGACUCGAAAGCAUGGGUAGCGAACAGGAUUAGAUACCCUGGUAGGAUAGCG